rnacentral:misc_RNA from 1 species
CUUUUAUUAGCGAUUCUCCAAAGCACCGUUCUCUGGUCAGUACUAGCAGCGGAAGCAGAAGCGGCUGCGGCGGUGGAGUUCCCCGUUCGCCUCUAGCUUCAGUAGAGAACUUUGAGAUUCCGCUUAUGUUCAGAACUCCAGUGAAGGUCGAAGAGGAUGUGGUAGUCAUGGACGGUAUUCUGGUUGAGGCGAAACAUGGUCCGAG